rnacentral:rRNA from 1 species
GAUGUCUGCUUUCGUAGGUGACCUGCGGAGGAUCAUUA